rnacentral:rRNA from 1 species
CCUACGGGAUGCAGCAGUGAGGAAUAUUGGUCAAUGGCCGUAAGGCUGAACCAGCCAAGUAGCGUGAGGGAAGACUGCCCUAUGGGUUGUAAACCUCUUUUAUGCGGGGAUAAAGGUGUCCACGUGUGGAUGUUUGCAGGUACCGCAUGAAUAAGGACCGGCUAAUUCCGUGCCAGCAGCCGCGGUAAUACGGAAGGUCCGGGCGUUAUCCGGAUUUAUUGGGUUUAAAGGGAGCGUAGGCCGGUCUUUAAGCGUGCCGUGAAAUUUUGUGGCUCAACCAUGGGAGUGCGGCGCGAAAUGGAGACAUUGAGUGCGCGGAAGGCAGGCGGAAUUCGUGGUGUAGCGGUGAAAUGCUUAGAUAUCACGAAGAACCCCGAUUGCGAAGGCAGCCUGCCGCAGCGUUACUGACGCUGAAGCUCGAAAGCGCGGGUAGCGAACAGGAUUAGAUACCCGGGUAGUC